AAGGUCCUACGGGGCGCAGCAGUGGGGAAUAUUGCACAAUGGGGGAAACCCUGAUGCAGCAACGCCGCGUGAGUGAAGAAGUAUUUCGGUAUGUAAAGCUCUAUCAGCAGGGAAGAAGAAAGACGGUACCUGACUAAGAAGCCCCGGCUAACUACGUGCCAGCAGCCGCGGUAAUACGUAGGGGGCAAGCGUUAUCCGGAUUUACUGGGUGUAAAGGGAGCGUAGACGGCAUAGCAAGUCUGAAGUGAAAGCCCGUGGCUCAACCGCGGCACUGCUUUGGAAA
rnacentral:rRNA from 1 species